UCAUGCCCAAAGAGGAAGGACUCUUGCUCUGUUUCUCACGCACAGAAGCCUACUCCCUCUUUGUUUCAUGCCCACACUAUCUCAAAAGAAGUUUUUCAUGAUAAAAACCAAUCCCUUUGUCACACAAAAGGGAGAAGAAUUUAAGGCGGCAUGGAGAUGGGAUAGGAUAAGGAUGAGGUGGUUCGAAUUAGUUCGAAUUCAAAUCAUUUUGAAUUCAAACUGUUGGGUAUAAAAUACCCGCGGCCA
rnacentral:lncRNA from 1 species